GAUCUCGGUCCAUACUUCUUUGCUAUCCCAUAUGUACACCCUGAUCAGUUAUGGAAUGUAAAGAAGUAUGUAUCCUUGCU
rfam:Crassostrea gigas strain 05x7-T-G4-1.051#20 contig14445, whole genome shotgun sequence.